CUUAAAAAGGUGGCAAAAUAGAAAUAAAGAUAAAGAAGGGCUCCUUUAGUUUACAACCCUAUCAUAGAAUGUUUAGUAUCUUUGUUAUUAAACCUAUAAUUAACUUAGCUUGUGAAUUAGUUCAUCUUCCUGCUGCUUUGAUAAAAAUACUCCGGCAAUAGAAACUUUUGGAAUGAAGAGGGUUUUGCUUAAAAUUUGAAUGCACAGUAUACUAUAGCAAAGAAGGUAUAGCAAGAAUUUGAAGCAGCCAGUGACAUUGCACCCAGAGUUAGGAAGCAGGAAAUAUUGAGUUUGGCAAUCUUAUUUAUUUUUGUCUUGUUUUAUAAGGGUUUUGCUUGUUUGUUUGGAUUUUCACAAGAACAUGAAGUGGCAUAAGAAACUGAUGGGAAGAAUCUGUAAGAAGUUAGACGAGUAGAAAGAAUAUGAUUAAAAUAUAUUGUAUUCAAGAAAAAAUUCAAGAGCAAUUUUUGCUGUCUAUUCUGGAAUAUGAUUAACUUAUCGUGAAAUACAUUCUUAGAGAAAACUGACUUUCCCAGUAGAUAAAAUGGCUACUAUCCCCUCAGAUAUGUAGAGAUGGGAUUUCUCACUGAACACCCCUUUCCAUGUUGGGAUUUGGUCAGGUUAAGGCAUAUGUUUUUCUGUGCUGUCACAUCCACUGUGAGAUCACAUGUGCAACUGACCUGCUGUGUCCAGAUGGCACCCUUUCCUUGUAGCUGUUCACUGUCGAAGACUCACUUUUUUUGCUCCCCUUUCCAAAAAGGUCACUGAGUCUUGGCAGGAGGGAGUGAAAUAUCUGUAUUCUGCAUCCUCUGAUUUGUUGCAUUUUGGCCAGUCAUGGGACUGUGUUAUUCACCAUUCAUUGGAAGUUAAAGACUGAGGGAUGACAAAUGAAUUGAUCUGUGGGUGUGACAAUAAGUCACUAGAAAUUGGUUUAAUACUAUGUCCAUUUGGCCAGAUGAUAGUAGCCCUGUUUCCUGUUACCCCAAUCUGUUAGGGAGUAGACCAGCAGUAUCAGUUUUAGGAUUUAGUUUUCAGCAAAUUCAGUGUUGAUUUUGAAUCUGCAUUGGAAGUAGACCUGACCCAACUUGAUCUGUCAAGUUAGAAGAAUCACAAGUCUGAUCUUUAGGAAUCUCUGGAAAAUGCUCAGGACUUCUACUCAGUCAACGGGUGUGGAUGGUAUUAAUGAUGUGAGCCCAGGAUCCCUAACUGGCAAGGAGGUACAGAAGGGAUUCUAGGAGGUAGAAUAAGAAGAUGUAGACAACAUUUGAGGAUUCUGGGUAGUGAGCCAUCAUUUUUAUUUCAUGCAAUUUCCUUCUCUUUUUCUGCAUUUGUUUUUCUGUUUUAGUAUUUUAUGUAUGAAUACUAUAUUUCCAACAUUUUUACUUCACCCUCUCCCAUAUCCAGCUUACCUGGUGUCCUCCCCACUAUUCCCUCUCAAAUUCACUACAUUUUUAUUUACCUCUAAUGUCCAUUUGUUUGUAUUUAUGCCACACUAUUUGUAUUUAACAAUUUUCCAUGUUAUUUUCUUUCAUUUAAUAAAUCAACUUGUUAUUUCAACUGAUACUGAUGGUGUGACUCAUUUUUCUCUGACUAAUAAAACCAAAAGAGAAUGAACUUUAAAAGGGAAGAACUAUUUCAGAUUACAGUUUUAGAAAUCAGUGAAUUGUUGGCUCACUCUGGUGUGCUGUUUUUGCCUGUAGUAAAGGUGUAUAAUAUGGC
rnacentral:lncRNA from 1 species